AUGAAUCAUUACAUCCAUAAACUCCAUUCAAUUUCACUAUUCAAAUUCAAGACCAUACAAAUGUUCGUGUUUGCAAGAGCUUGGAAUUCAAAUGCAGAUUGGAGGGAAAGUAUUCAUUCAAAUAUCAUUACAUUUUGGGAUACUACAAGAGGAAGAAAACCUAAGUUGAUCAAAUUAAACUUCAAAACAGACCCAAGGCAAAAAGAAGGAAGAUUUGCAACAUGCCCAAGAAAGUUAGUUGUGGGGACUUGCUAUUCUUGCUUCACAACUGGGUGA